rnacentral:tRNA from 1 species
GAGGAUGUGUUAGAGUGGUUAUUGGGCAUGAAUAGAUAUCAUGUGGGCUCUUCCCGCGCAGGUUCGAAUCCUAUCAUCCACA